rnacentral:rRNA from 1 species
CGGUAAUACAUGUGGGGCAAGCGUUGUUCGGAAUUACUGGGCAUAAAGGGUGCGUAGGUGGUUUGUUAAGUCAGGGGUGAAAUCCCGCGGCCCAACCGUGGAACUGCCUUUGAUACUGGCGAACUUGAGUGCGUGAGGGGUAGGGGGAACGAGCAGUGUAGUGGUGAAAUGCGUAGAUAUUGCUCGGAAGGCCAGAGCCGAAGGGGCCCUACUGGUGCGCAACUGACACUGAGGCACGAAAGCGUGGGGAGCAAACAGGAUUAGAUACCCUGGUAGUCCACGCCGUAAACUAUGAGCACUAGAUGGAUGCCGAGCUAUCGGUGUCUGUCGGAGGCAAUUUGGUAAGUGCUCCGCCUGGGGAGUAUGGUCGCAAGGCUAAAACUCAAAGGAAUUGACGGGGGCUCACACAAGCGGUGGAGGAUGUGGUUUAAUUCGAAGCAACGCGCAGAACCUUACCAGGUCUUGACAUACCGGGAUUAUUCGUGUGAAAGCAUGAAAA